rnacentral:rRNA from 1 species
CUUCGGCGGUUUGGGAGUGGCCUGCGUCCGAUUAGCUAGUUGGUGAGGUAAUUGCUCACCAAGGCGACGAUCGGUAGCUGGUCUGAGAGGAUGAUCAGCCUGACUGGAACUGAGAACGGUCCAGACUCCUACGGGAGGCAGCAGUAGGAAUUUUCCACAAUGGGCGAAAGCCUGAUGGAGCAACGCCGCGUGCAGGAUGAAUGCCUUCGGGUUGUAAACUGCUUUUCUGUGUGAAGAAUAUGACGGUAACACAGGAAUAAGGGUCGGCUAACUACGUG